GGGGGGGCGACAAGACUUGGAGCACAAGGUCCAGGCUUUCACCUUCGGAGUUGGCUCAACCUCCAGUGAAACGCGGUAACCACACAGCAAAGCAUGGUACUGAGAGAUGCAGUGAGCUAUGUAGACCAUUUCUUUUGGAUGAAACUUUCUUUUCAGCCUAGCAAUCUUCAUUAAAUGUUAGCCCAGAUGAAGACUUCAGGAUAAGUAGGGGCAGCUCAGGCUUGGUAUCACUGAUGCAAAGAAAUAACUCCUGCCCUGUUUGGAUGUUCCGGAAUUGUUCACAUGUUGCCCUCCUGUCAUCUGGUCCUAGAUCCCUACUCACAGUGGAACAAGACAUUGGAUCUUCUAAUUGACCAGGAACUGAGCAUCAGAACAGUGUUGAGGAGCAGAGUGAUGUUUCCUGGCAGCUCUGUGUAUGUACGCAUGUACACAUGUGGACAGAAUGCUCCCUGCUACCAGUUCUCAUUCAGACUGAACAUUUUCAGGGCAACACCAGAUAUUUGCCUGACCUUGCUGUGAGAGAGUGGCCUUCUCUAUACCUGGUGAAGUUCUUCCUAAUAGGAGGGCUCCAGGACCAAUCUUGGAGGAAGGGAAGUGAGCUGUCGAGAACUUUAAUGGGCAAGGCGGUCUAGACCCCUAGGAUGAUGGGAAUGGAUGACAUCCAGAGUUCAUCCUGCCUUUGGUUCUUAACAUGUCUCAGAACCCUGUGGAGAGAGUUUUCCAGAAACAGGUGCCAAGGCCCCAGCCCCAGAAGUGCUAGACUCAAGGUAUCUAGAAUAACAUUUGGCUUGAGAAUUUGACAAUAUUUUCAGGAGAUUCUGAUUCUUAUACUUAAUUAAGUCCUUCUGGACUAGUGUACCCUCUACAUGUUAGAUAGAAGAGAGGUAGGAGUUGGAAUCAUACCCUCCCAAAUUCAGGGGUUGAUUUUAGUUAGGGAUAAAAAUAGCAUUCAAAAUUUGAGGAUUUUUAAAAUAAUAAAAUCCUAUCAAUGCAAAUGGUAAUGGUCCCAAGCUUUGGGCUCCUUUAACAAUUUUCCAGCAUAAUUGGUAAAGAGAAUUAACUAACAUCAUACAUUUAGUCAGUGUGAGAAAUAGGACUAGAACCUGAGUUACCUGAAUCCCGAAGCAGUUUUUCUUUCCAGUAUGUUCUCUUGUCUUCUGCUUUGCUUAGACCUAGGUCUAUCUGGUCAAUGAAAUGAAUUGAUUAACUCCAGUGAUAUCAAUACUAUCUUUCUUAAUGAGCAGCUUGAUGCUUAUACCUUCAAAGGUAAUAUUUACUUUGUUUAGGAGUUUAGAUUUAUCUUCAUUUUUUUCCUUAUUAUGGAGAGUCAGAAUUCAGCACUCACAGGGCUCAGAUGGUCCAUUUUUCUGGGGAACAGAAGGCACAAUUCUCCAAAACGCAGUUGGUGAGAUUCUCCUUACUUCGUGUGUUGGUUGUCUUUCUAGGCCCUAGUGGACACUGCAGCCCAUCUUCCUGGUAAUGUCAUCAUGAUUAUAAUUAUUACCACUCUGUGUAGCCCAAAUAUGUGUGAUUUCUUAAGUAAAAGUAGCAUUUUCUGAUUCUUUAAAAAUGCUCUGUUUUAGCCAAGUUUGCACACUUAUACUUUUUUGUAUGUCUUCAA